UGGAAGUAAAAGUCGUAACAAGGUCUCCGUUGGUGAACCAGCGGAGGGAUCAUUACCGAGUUUACAACUCCCAAACCCCUGUGAACAUACCACUUGUUGCCUCGGCGGAUCAGCCCGCUCCCGGUAAAACGGGACGGCCCGCCAGAGGACCCCUAAACUCUGUUUCUAUAUGUAACUUCUGAGUAAAACCAUAAAUAAAUCAAAACUUUCAACAACGGAUCUCUUGGUUCUGGCAUCGAUGAAGAACGCAGCAAAAUGCGAUAAGUAAUGUGAAUUGCAGAAUUCAGUGAAUCAUCGAAUCUUUGAACGCACAUUGCGCCCGCCAGUAUUCUGGCGGGCAUGCCUGUUCGAGCGUCAUUUCAACCCUCAAGCACAGCUUGGUGUUGGGACUCGCGUUAAUUCGCGUUCCCCAAAUUGAUUGGCGGUCACGUCGAGCUUCCAUAGCGUAGUAGUAAAACCCUCGUUACUGGUAAUCGUCGCGGCCACGCCGUUAAACCCCAACUUCUGAAUGUUGACCUCGGAUCAGGUAGGAAUACCCGCUGAACUUAAGCAUAUCAAUAAGCGGAGGAA
rnacentral:misc_RNA from 1 species